rnacentral:lncRNA from 1 species
GCCCGCAGCCCCUCCUUCUGAUGGUUUAACUUGGAGCAAUCCUCAAUGGUUGUGCAUAGCCAGAUACACGCACUAUGCACACAGGCACUGGGUUCUGGGUCACCUCCCUGGCAUCCCAGGCCUCUGUCUGCUUCCUUCAGUGCUUCCUUCUUCAGCCGUCCCUCCCUGGAUCCCAGCCACCUGAGCUCCAUCCAUCCCUGAUUUCAUUCCUUUUUUUUCCUCUUCCAGCUCUAGUCCACAGCCUUCCUCCCCAGGACAUGUGAUUCAAGCCUGAAGCAUACAAUGGGAGCACAAAGGAGGAGGGGACAGAGAAAAGAAAUGAGCAUCAGCCUUGGGAAUGUCUCCUCUGACUGUAGAGUCAGGAGACAUUAAGAUAAACAUUCACUGGAACAUAUACAUUCUGGUAGAUUCCGAUGAGAAUUAAGCCCAUUCAUUCAUCUGGUAGGAUCCUUCCACAGAAAAUUCCCAUUCACAUAAUCCCACAUUAUAGCAUUGCUGCCGUGGGGAAGUCAGAUUCCAUUUACACUAUUCAGACUUGCAGUCCCUCAGUCAGGAACACCAGCUCCAGGAGUGAGACGCACCUCUACGAACUGUAUUUACGUUAACCCUCAGAACACCAUCCCACAUGACAAGCCACAGGGAAAAAGGAAUCGGAUCCAGGGAAAACGCUGUACCACUGGGGCCCGGGUGCCUUAAGUGGUUUUCUGAUCAACUCCAUAGAAUCAGAAUGUCAGGACUACAAGUCAUCCGUGUCCCUGCAAAGGACAUCUCAUCUUCAUUGAUCAUCCAUGGUGCUGAGCAUUUAAGAGGCACCAGGGAUGUAACUUUGAAUCAGAAGAGACCUGGUUCCUGCCCUUGUGGAGCUUACAUUCCCG